CUGGUAUGAAUGGGUGAACGAGGGCUUAACUGUCUCUUAAACACUAUAUAGAACUAACAUCCAGGUGAAGAGGCCUGGAUACACGUGGAAGACAAGAAGACCCUGUCGAGCUCUGUAAYUUAUUGCUMUCUUGAAUUUAGAAAAACCUUGGAGAAGCAUCUCAAGUUACUUCGUUGGGGCGASGAGAGGGAAAAAAAUACACCUCUUUAUAACAAGGCCGAUUAGCCAUAUAAUGACCCAUUUAUAUGAUCAAAGGAAAAAGCUACCGCAGGGAUAACAGGUUAACUUCCCCAAAAAGCCCCCAUUGACAAAAAAGAUUGGCACCUCGAUGUUGGCUU
rnacentral:rRNA from 1 species